CGCUGGCGGCGUGCCUAAUACAUGCAAGUCGAGCGGACAGAUGGGAGCUUGCUCCCUGAUGUUAGCGGCGGACGGGUGAGUAACACGUGGGUAACCUGCCUGUAAGACUGGGAUAACUCCGGGAAACCGGGGCUAAUACCGGAUGCUUGUUUGAACCGCAUGGUUCAAACAUAAAAGGUGGCUUCGGCUACCACUUACAGAUGGACCCGCGGCGCAUUAGCUAGUUGGUGAGGUAAUGGCUCACCAAGGCAACGAUGCGUAGCCGACCUGAGAGGGUGAUCGGCCACACUGGGACUGAGACACGGCCCAGACUCCUACGGGAGGCAGCAGUAGGGAAUCUUCCGCAAUGGACGAAAGUCUGACGGAGCAACGCCGCGUGAGUGAUGAAGGUUUUCGGAUCGUAAAGCUCUGUUGUUAGGGAAGAACAAGUACCGUUCGAAUAGGGCGGUACCUUGACGGUACCUAACCAGAAAGCCACGGCUAACUACGUGCCAGCAGCCGCGGUAAUACGUAGGUGGCAAGCGUUGUCCGGAAUUAUUGGGCGUAAAGGGCUCGCAGGCGGUUUCUUAAGUCUGAUGUGAAAGCC
rnacentral:rRNA from 1 species